rnacentral:rRNA from 1 species
AGUGAACGCUGGCGGUAGGCCUAACACAUGCAAGUCGAACGGCAGCACAGGAGAGCUUGCUCUCUGGGUGGCGAGUGGCGGACGGGUGAGGAAUACAUCGGAAUCUACUCUGUCGUGGGGGAUAACGUAGGGAAACUUACGCUAAUACCGCAUACGACCUACGGGUGAAAGCAGGGGAUCUUCGGACCUUGCGCGAUUGAAUGAGCCGAUGUCGGAUUGGCUAGUUGGCGGGGUAAAGGCCCACCAAGGCGACGAUCCGUAGCUGGUCUGAGGGGAUGAUCAGCCACACUGGAACUGAGACACAGUCCAGACUCGUACGGGAGGCAGCAGUGGGGAAUAUUGGACAAUGGGCGCAAGCCUGAUUCAGCCAUACCGCGUGGGUGAAGAAGGCCUUCGGGUUGUAAAGCCCUUUUGUUGGGAAAGAAAUCCAGCUGGCUAAUACCCGGUUGGGAUGACGGUACCCAAAGAAUAAGCACCGGCUAACUUCGUGCCAGCAGCCGCUGUAA